rnacentral:tRNA from 1 species
GCUGGGGCUCAGCGGUAGAGCACUUGCCUUGGCAUGUAUGAAGCCCUGGGUUCGAUUCUCAGCACCGCA